GACGAACGCUGGCGGCGUGCUUAACACAUGCAAGUCGAACGAAGAGCGAUGGAAGCUUGCUUCUAUCAAUCUUAGUGGCGAACGGGUGAGUAACGCGUAAUCAACCUGCCCUUCAGAGGGGGACAACAGUUGGAAACGACUGCUAAUACCGCAUACGAUCUAAUCUCGGCAUCGAGGAUAGAUGAAAGGUGGCCUCUACAUGUAAGCUAUCGCUGAAGGAGGGGAUUGCGUCUGAUUAGCUAGUUGGAGGGGUAACGGCCCACCAAGGCGAUGAUCAGUAGCCGGUCUGAGAGGAUGAACGGCCACAUUGGGACUGAGACACGGCCCAGACUCCUACGGGAGGCAGCAGUGGGGAAUCUUCCGCAAUGGACGAAAGUCUGACGGAGCAACGCCGCGGGAGUGAUGACGGCCGUCGGGUUGUAAAGCUCUGUUAAUCGGGACGAAAGGCCUUCUUGCGAAUAGUGAGAAGGAUUGACGGUACCGGAAUAGAAAGCCACGGCUAACUACGUG
rnacentral:rRNA from 1 species